rnacentral:lncRNA from 1 species
GUUUUCCAUAGCAUCUUUAUAAUAAAAUAGGAUAGGCAGUGGCAGAUUUAAUGAAGUUCAUCAGCAGAGAAGCUUGUCAAGAGUGCAAGAUAAAACAUAGCACUCGAAGCCAGAGAGCUGGCUUUAAAUUAUCAUCUUGGCAAAUUAUUACUAAUUAAAACUCCUGAAUCCUACUUUCCUUACCUGCUAUCUGACUUUUGAAAAUUCAGUGAGCUACUGUUUGUAAAAAUGCCCAAUGCUAACAACACUCAGUAAAUGCUGCUUGGGAUGAUCAAGCAGAUCAAUGAACAAGUGAUAAUACAAGAUUUUCUUAUUUUUCUAAUUUUCUAAUGCCCUUCCAAAGAAAAUUGCCUUUCAUUUGAUAUUUAUAGUAUCUCAAAUCAUUUUUCU